CUAAUACAGAUUUUGAUGUCAGCAAUGGGGUGCUUAUAUAACUAAUACCUAAAAAUAUGGGAGUAUCCUUAGAACUGAGCAUUGGGCAGAGGCUAAAAAAAUUUUGAGCAGCGUAAUAGAGAAAGCCUAAAUGGCAUUGAACAGACUGUUAGUAAAACAUCUGGACCUGGACUGUUAGUAAAAAUGCUGCCAGUGAGGGCUAAGAAAGUAAAAGUAAGAUACUGAAAACUGAAGAAAAGUGGAUCAUAUUUGUGUAAUGGCAGACAGCUAAACAAAAUUGUCUCCUGAAGUGAUAUGAAAAGCAGAAAUUUUACAUGAUGAACUUGGAUAUUUAGGUAAGGAUAAUUUUUAAAAAAAGUGGCGAAGUUGCCACUUUGUUUCUUCUUGCUAAUUAUAGUAAAAGGUUAAAAAGAGAGAGAUAAGUUGAGGGAAGAACUGAUGAACGAAAAGGAGCCAGGACGUAAUACUGAACAUUCUCAGUCUUACCAGACGGCAAAAAAUGCUGAAAUUAAGAGAGCAUGGUUAUGAGAAAAAUCUGAAGAAAGAACUUUUGCUAAAAAUUUAGAGUAUUCAGUCAUACUGGCUGGUCUUUUAAGAGAUUAAAGGACUGUCUCAGAGAUCCUCUCACUCAUCAUAGUGCCUCAGCCAUCUCAACAGGAACCCAAAUUAAAUAACAGAUUAACUUGAAAAGAUCCUCUGUGUGUUGUUUUGUCUAACGGGAUGAACACAAUUGAGGUCCACAAAGUUCUUGAGAAAAUUAUUUCAGCACAAACUGCCAAAUUGGACUGAAAGAGACAAAGUAAAAAAUGAAAAGAAUCUUGUCAUAUUCUCAAAAUUCUAUUUGCAGGAAACAGGCUGAUAAAACUAUUCAGCUGGAAAACACAUGCUAACAUUCAUGAAAAAGAAGAAUGUCUCAGAGAAUGGAAAGAAGAGCCCAGAGGGCAGAGCUUAGAACCACAGAGAAUCAUUCCCAGGCCUUCAAGCCUAAUCAACAAAUUUCUGACAUUUACCCAUUGGGAUUUCAGAACUGCUACUGACUGCAUGAACUCUUCUGGAAAUAGCCCUUACCUGAGCAAAUGGAACCAUAAACACCAAUGGAGAAAGAUGUAGAACUUCUUCUCGUGCCCUCGCAGGCAUCUCGCAUUGUCAGGAAUUGGUUCUUAGGUCACAGGUGAUGAAAAGACUCAAUAUAGACUCUACUUGCAAGCAUAGAGGAAUUUGAAAUGCUCAGUUCACCAACUCUCAUACUUUGUUUAGUUGUUUGCUAUUCAUUUAGUUGAUCCUCAAACUGCCGGGGUUGGGGGGUGGUGUGAGACAUAUGGAAAGUUAUUCAACGUCGCAAAAUGGCAUAAGGAAGUAAAACAACUCAGUUGUGCACCGUUGUGGUAAUUGGAACGUGUUUUACAAGCCUUGGAGUUCCUUGGUCCUUGGGCCAUAAAGCCCCAGCUAUGUGGAUAUAAGUUGAGUCUGACAGCUAACUAAUAAAAUAUGUCUUAGGACAAUAGACUCACUUCCUAGCCUACUGUCCUUCCUUAUGCUAACUAGUCUUUUAUCUUCAAAGGCUGAGAAAAUGAUGCUUCUGCUCAUGAUGAAGCUGUUGUUGGUGAUGCCAGUGGUGGUGCCCUCUAAAAAGUGUGGCUUUGAACUUCAGCCAACAGCACUAAUUUUGCUUCUUGAAUGUGUCUAUCCAAAGAGCUACUUUUUCUAAAUAAAGUUACAUCAGCAUAUGGCAAAAAAACUAAUAAUUUCAGUACUUAUAAAGUAGCUCCUUUUGAGUACACCAGUAAAAAUGUUAAAUGUUUUGGCAUGUGUAUUUUAUUCCUUAUGUUUGUAGUGGUUAAAAAUCAUUUUUCUUAUCUCUGUAGAAGAUUAAUCCCAAACUUGCAUAAGCAUUUUUAUAGUUUGUUCGAUAUAAGAAUUACAUGGAAGUUUUAUUGUUUGAAAGUUUUAGAACACAUUCCAAGCUAUAUUUCUGUUUUCAGUGGGUCAUAAUUUUUAAUUUCUAUAAUUUCCUUUUUUUUUAAUUCUGUAUGCUCUGUUAUGCCACUCAAUAUUAGUGAUUGCUUCACUAAAAGUUUUCUAAUUAUUCUUCAUUUGUAAUAUAAUCUAAGAUGUUUAAAAUACUAUUCUGGUUAGAAUAUAUUGAGUUUUUUAGAAAACAAAACUUU
rnacentral:lncRNA from 1 species